rnacentral:piRNA from 1 species
UUAGUUUAGGAUGGCCUCGGAUUAUACUA